rnacentral:rRNA from 1 species
GAUGAACGCUGGCGGCGUGCUUAACACAUGCAAGUCGAACGGGAAAGCCCAGCUUUUUGGGGGGAUUAGUGGGGGGCGGGGGAGGAAAACACGAGUGACACCCCCCCAUCUCUUUGGGAGAACUAUGGGAAAGUGGGGAAUAUAACAGAGAAGCGUUCACGCCGCGUGGGGGGGGGGGGAAAGGUUCGGCGGUUGGGGGUGGACUCGGGGCUUAUGCGCUUGGUGGGGGGGGUGUGGCUUACCAGGGACUAGGGGGGUAGCCGGCCUGAGAGGGUGACCGGCCACAUUGGGACUGCGAUACGGCCCAGACUCCUACGGGAGGCAGCAGUGGGGAAUAUUGCACAAUGGGCGGAAGCCUGAUGCAGCGACGCCGCGUGCGGGAUGACGGCCUUCGGGUUGUAAACCUCUUUCGCCUGUGACGAAGCGUGAGUGACGGUAAUGGGUAAAGAAGCACCGGCUAACUACGUG